UUAUGUGAGGGCGAUCUGGCUGCGACACCUGUCACCCCAUUGAUCGCCAGGGUUGAUUCGGCUGAUCUGGCUGGCUAGGUGGGUGUCCCCUCCCACACCUCUCCAUGUGCGUCCCUCCCGAAGCUGAGCGCUCGGUAGAAGAGGACGACUAUCCCCGCUAGAGGAUGGGUAUAUGAGUAGCUGCGCUCCCCUGCUAGAACCUCCAAACAAGCUAAGGUGGGUUUUCCACUGUGCAACACAAACAGAUCAAAACGGUAAGAGGACCUCUGUGGACUCCUGAAACAGAAAUGAAUACUUAGAGUACCAU
rnacentral:snRNA from 1 species